AUUGAACGCUGGCGGCAUGCCUUACACAUGCAAGUCGAACGGCAGCACGGGUGCUUGCACCUGGUGGCGAGUGGCGAACGGGUGAGUAAUACAUCGGAACAUGUCCUGUAGUGGGGGAUAGCCCGGCGAAAGCCGGAUUCAUACCGCAUACGAUCUACGGAUGAAAGCGGGGGACCUUCGGGCCUCGCGCUAUAGGGUUGGCCGAUGGCUGAUUAGCUAGUUGGUGGGGUAAAGGCCUACCAAGGCGACGAUCAGUAGCUGGUCUGAGAGGACGACCAGCCACACUGGGACUGAGACACGGCCCAGACUCCUACGGGAGGCAGCAGUGGGGAAUUUUGGACAAUGGGCGAAAGCCUGAUCCAGCAAUGCCGCGUGUGUGAAGAAGGCCUUCGGGUUGUAAAGCACUUUUGUCCGGAAAGAAAUCCUUGGCCCUAAUACGGUCGGGGGAUGACGGUACCGGAAGAAUAAGCACCGGCUAACUACGUG
rnacentral:rRNA from 1 species